AGUACGCGUGUGCUGGAACGAAAAGUACGAGUGCUUGUACACAUUGUGAAGUUUAACAGCAGCCACAUGCGCAUUUUGUCCUUCUUCUUUUUACACCUAAACAAAACUCGAGAUUAUUCCAAAAUGGCCGAUGUGUUAGUCUAUCGAUUUGUUCUUUGUUAACGCUCCGUUCGCUGAACGCUGAACUCGAGACUCUCUUUCUUUUUCCCUCUGAUAUAAUUAUUCCCGCUUCAUUCCUUCAUGGUGACUAUAGUGAGUUAGUGUGUGUGUAUGUAGCGGAUGCCGGUUGCCGGUUAUUUCUCAGAUUUAAUUAUGAAUUAAAAUCAGUUUAGAGAUAAAUUCCUGCUCAUCGUUAUUGUAUUUUGCAUCUUUCGCGAAUAGGAACUUUGCGUUUUGGCGGCACAAGAAAUUUGUCAUCCGUUGAUCAUGAAGUGUUUCCGGUUUUUUGAGAAGCGCAAAUUUUAGUGUGUACCGGCUUUGCGAUGAAGUUUAUCACGAGGAAUCCAAUAAGGAGCUACUUUUCGUGUAAUCUCUCGAAUGCGUUUAUCACAAAAUCACGAAGCGAGAAGAAGUACGUCAGGUUCGGCGCGCUGUAAGGUAAAAAAAUAACGAAGUACUGGCGUAAUAGUAUUUACGACGAUCACGUCGCCCAUAGAUAACAUGUGAUGGUAACACCGGACAUUUUCUGAUAUCGUUGUAUUAUUCAGAAAAUGCUGAGUUUACCAACAUUAGUUAUCGAAGAAUAACGGAUACGCGGCCGUAGCGCAGCCAUGCUGACAGACAGGCAGCCGUUGGUCGAACGAGUUGCUGCUGAUGCGUGUGAUUUGUGACGAACACGCGACGACGACUGGGAAGGCCCUAGGCGAAGACCAAGGCGAUUGCGACGUGUGCAAAUACGAGUAUACCUGCCACAGUGAGACGAUAGUGACGGUGACGGUGACUGUGACUGUGGCCGGCGAUCAGAAUACGUGAAUACGAAUACGCGUAGUAAAACGAUCAUCUCUCGCGGAGGACGUUUAAAUGGAAAUAUCGAGGUGGUAACUUAUCGCUUUCUUGAUUGUUUUUAAAGUUCAAGAAACGGAACAGUUACCGCUUUUCAUUUCCUACGAUGACCGAGUGGAGUUGAAGUUGGAGUCAAAGUCGCCGUGUGCGUAUUGACGAGGCGGCGGCGCGGCGGUGGCCGUGGCGCGAGCGCGUUCGCUAUAAAACAAGCAAUAAGAAGAUGAGGAAAGUAAGAAAAGAAAAAAAAACCGCGCGUAUCGUCGUCAGAAAAGCGGAGUAUUAAAUUUCAAGAGUGUAGAGAGAAUCGGCAUCGCACGGAUAUGUAUUGUGUAUUCGGAAAUACUGGGUGGUAACUUACCGCUUUCUUGAUUUCAUGUUUUAUUCAAGAAAGUGAAUAGUCACCGUCUUGUGUUCCGUGCUAAGUAUCGUGUGGCGGAAUUGGAAUUGGAAUCGCAAGUGGAACCAGGAGGAAAUAUCGCGCCAGGCGCGACCAUGUGGUGUCAAUUGCGAGAGCACGACAAGUGCAGAGCGCAGAAACAAAAGGGUAGGUAUUUUUAAUUGGACAUUAGCGGUGGUAACUUACCGAUUUCUUGACUUUUGCUAUGCUGUUCAAGAAACGGAGUAGUUACCUCCUGUGAUCGUCCACGUGGUUUCUUCGAUGGAGAAUUAGAUAUUUGUGUAGAAAUAUUGAUAACAAUUAUUGUACUGAAUGUAAAAAUAUGUAUUAUUCGUACAGAUACUGGCAUAAUUAUGAUUGUCUAUAGUGCAUAUCUGUGUAGACGCCGCCGUAUUUCUUUAGCAUUAAUCUAAGUUGUUUAUUGUUACAGCGGGUCGGAGGUUUUUUUAUAGUGUUUAUUUUAAAAUACGUUGAGAUUAUAAUUAGGUACCUAUAUUUUGAUAAGUUAUAUAGGUAUCAUUUACUAUUACAUAUUGAUGUAGUUAUUCUGACCAAAUGUGUCAAUAAAGAAAUUGAAGAAUGUCUUUAA